AUGCAAAAUGAUUUAUUAUGUGAUGACUUAAAAUCUGUUGAAAUGAAACUGAUCUGUUUCAUCUCCAAAGAGCAGACUGCAGAAAUUUGAGAGGGACAUCAGAGUUAUGGUGAGAAACAGGUGGAUGAGUGGCAGGACUCAAUUACAAGUGGGAUCAUGCCAAGAUAAUUUUCCAGCUGAAGCAGAGGAGAAACAUUCCAUUGACCUACAGAUGAAGCCAAGGUUGGUGAUUCCCUUGGAGAUGCUAGCAGCUCUGUUCUGGACUUUAUGUCAAAGAAAUCAUAUUGUAUGUUUCUUUUGCUAUUUCCAUGCUUAGUUCAUUGGGGAAAGUACAAAAGAAAUUGCACCAUGGCGAAAGCCAUUUGAAGUUAGAUGAGAAACAACAGCUAAACUCUUGGAAUAUCUUUAGGAAACGCAGACGUGAUGAGGAGGUCUUUCAACCUCAGUUUUCUAACACAUCCGAAAGCCUUUGCACCACCUGGGAAGCCUCCUCUCAGGGAACAAUAAGACAUAGUCGUAACUCAUAGGAAUUUCUUCUGUCUCCAGAGCCUGAAUCCUCU
rnacentral:lncRNA from 1 species